CUAAUUUACUUUCUGUGUCUAGAUUUGUCUAUUUGGGAUGUUUCCUAAAGGCAUUGUAUAGUAAAGCCCUUUGGAACUGGCUUUUCAUUUAGCACAAUGUUUUUGAGGUUCAUUCAUGUUGUAGCAUGUUUCAGUUCUUCAUUUGUUUUUAUGGCCAAAUAAUCUUCCAUUGUGUGGCUAUAUUACAUUUUGUUUAGCCAUUCAUCAAUUGAUAGAUAUUUGGGUUGUUUCUACUUUUUGGUUAUUACAAGCAAUGCUGCUAUGAACAUCUGUGUGCGAGUUUUUGUGUGGACAUAUAUUUUCAUUUUUCUUGGUUAUAUACCCAAGAGUGAUAUUGCUGGAUUACAUAGUAGUUCACGUUUAACUUUUUGAGGAGCUGCUAGACUUGUUUUCCAAAAUAGCUGUCCCAGUUACAUUCCUUUCAGCAGUGUGUGAGUUCUAAUUUCUCCACAUCCUUGUCAGUGAACACUUGUAUUAUCUUUGUGUGCAUAGCCAUCCUAGUAGUGUGAACUAGGCCUUUUAUCAUUGUGCUGAUUUGCAUUUCUCUCAUAGAUAAUGAUGUUGAACAUCUUUUCAUAUGCAUAUAGGCCAUUUGUUGUUUGGAGAAAUGUAUAUUUAGACUUUGCAUAUUUUUUUAAUUGGGCAGAUUUAAAAUUUAUGUAUUGUUGAGUUUCAAGAGUCCUUUAUAUAUUUUAGGUACAAGUCCCUUAUUAGAUAUGUGAUUUGCAAAAUUUUUCUCAUUCUGUGGGUUUUCUUUCCAUUCUUCUUAAUGGUUUCCAUUGAAGUACACAUGGUUUAAAUUUUCAUGUUUAUUUUUUCUUUCGUUGCUUGUGCUUUUGAUGUCAUAUUUAGGAAGGCUUUGUCCAAUCUAAGUUCAAAAAGAUUUACUCCUAUGUUUUCUUUUUCUUUUUUUUUUUUUGAGAUGGAGUUUCGCUCUUGUCGCCUAGGCUGGAGUGCGAUGGUGCGAUCUCGGCUCAUUGCAACCUCGGCCUCCCAGGUUCAAGCAAUUCUCCUGCCUCAGCCUCCCGAGUAGCUGGGAUUAUAGGUGCUCGCCACCGUGCCCAGCUAAUUUUUGUAUUUUUAGUAGAGACGGGGUUUCGCCAUGUUGGCCAGGCUGGUCUCAAACUCCUGACCUCAGGUGAUCCACCCACCUCAGCCUCCCAAAGUCCUGGGAUUACAGGCAUGAGCCACCAUGCCUGGCCUGUUACUCCUAUAUUUUCUUCUAAGAGUUUUAUAGUUUUACCUCUUAAAUUUAGCUCUUUGAUCCAUUUUGAGUUAAAUUUUGUGUCUGUUGAGAGGAAGGGGUCCAGCUUGAUUUGUUUGUGUGUGGAUAUUCAGUUGUCCCAGUAUCAUUUGUUGAAAAGACUGUUUGUUCCCCAGUGAAUUUUCUUGCCCUUGUGGUCAAAAUUCCCUUGACUGAAAGGUAAGGGUUUCUUUCAACAAUAUUUUGUAGUUUUCAGAGUAUAAGUUUUGCAUUUCUUUUGUUAAAUUUAUUCCUAAGUAUUUUACCUUUUUUGAUACUUUUGUAAAUGGAAUUUUCUUAAAGAGGCAGUGGCAUGAUUAGACUUUUAUUUCAGGAAUAUACUCUGACAUUUUUGUGGAGGAUGGUUUGGAGGAAAGUCUAGUAAAACAUACACUAAGAUUAAUUAUUCUGUCAAUGAUGAUAAAAGGCCAGAACUAGGGUUGUAAAAUGAAAGGUAAUGAAUAAAUUUGGGUAAUAUCUAGGAUGUAGAAUGUAAAAAACGUGAUGAUUUGGAUAUUAUAAUGAGAGUGAAAUCUCUUGAUGUAAAUUCCAGGUUUCUGGCUUAGAUAGUUUUGCCAGCCAUUUGCUGACAUAGGAACAGGAAAAGGAGUUAAUUGGGUUUUCUUUCUUUUUUCUUAGUUUGUCUUAAAGGUUUGCUGAUUUUAUCUUUUCAAAGAACCAACUUUUCAUUUUGUUAUCUUUUGUAUUUUUUUCAUUUCAUUUAUUUUGGCUCUGAUCUUUAUUAUUUUCUACUAAUUUGGGGUUUGGUUUGCUCUUGCUUUUCUGGUUGAGAUGCACUGUUAGGUUGUUUAUUUGAUGUUUUCCUGCUUUUUUGAUGUAGGCACUUACUGCUAAAAACUUUCCCUUUAAGUAUUGCUUUUGCUGUGUCUCACAGGUUUUAUAUAUUGUCUUUGCAUUUUUAUUUCUAUCAAGAAAUUUUUAUAUUUACUUCUUAAUUUCUUCAUUGACCCACUGGUCAUUCAAGAGCAUGUGGUUUAAUUUCCAUGUGUUUGUAUACACAGUCUCCAAAGUUCCUCAUAGUACUGAUUUCUAGUUUUAUUCCACUGUGGUCAGAGAAGAUACUUGAUAUGAUUUCAAUUGUUUUUUGAAUUUUUUAAGCCUUGUUUUGUGGCCUACCCAUGAUCUAUCCUUGUGAAUGAUCGAUUUGCUGAGGAGAAGAAUGUGUAUUCUGCAGUUGUUGGAUGAAAUGUUCUGUGAAUAUUUGUUAGGUCUGUUGCAUGGAAUAUCUUUUUCCAUCCCUUCAUUUUCAGUCUCUUUGUGGCUUUAUAGGUGAAGUGUGUUUAUUUUAGGCAGCAGAUCGUUGGUUCUUUUUUUAAAUGGGCUUGUUUGUACCCAUCUUUCUUGGGAACGCUUUUGAAGUAUUCAAAGGGAAGUGAGUGUUGUGAUCUAAGUCUUUGGUCAUAGCAGCCGUAUCUGUAUUAAGGGGCACCCCAAGUCCAGUAACAUUGUGACCCUUGCAGACUUGUAGAGGUACCGCCUUGGUGGUCUUGGGUAAUAUCUGGGAGAAUUCCCUGGAUUAUCAGGAAAAGAACUCUUGGUUCUCUUCCCUUACUUUCCCCCAAACAGAGUAAAAAGAACUAAGUUUAGAGUUUUGGGCAAAUAAAAAGAACUAAAUUUAAGAGUUUUUCUGAGCUCUUCUUUCUAAGCUUUUCUAACUUCUUGAGUUCUUAACAUUAUGAAUUUAAAUCUACCAACAAAACAACAUUUUUUAAAAGUUACAAGAUUGGAGGAGGAAAGACCUUUAUUGGAGCAAAAGUUUACCUGUUGCAUCCUUUACUUUUUAAAAUCUGUUGUAAAGAAAAAUCUGGGCAUACCUGAACAGAACAUUGAUUCUAAAUGGUUAAAAAG
rnacentral:lncRNA from 10 species